UCUGAAGUGUUCAAGGUCUACGGAUAUCGCACCCCACCUGGGAGAAGAUUCCAGCUCGAUAAGAGUGCGCUGCGGGAGAGAGUCUUGUGUGGCGCGUCUGUCGUCCUGCGGUCGCAUCAACAGAGGUCAAAGUUCAUCAGAAAGUGACGAUGCUUAUUCGUAAGUGGUUAAAUUCGCAUCUUUGGAUGGAAACCCAUCUGCUGACGAACCGUAGGCCUGUCUCCACAUGAAUUCAAGGCUCCGUGUGGCAGCAAAGUGCUUCUUGAUGGAGUAAUGGACCCUCUGGAUCAGCAUGCUGCUAAUGUUCGCCCGUUUCAGUAGGUAAGGCAUCGUGGCGCUGUGCCCG